UACGUAGGGGGCAAGCGUUGUCCGGAAUUAUUGGGCGUAAAGAGCGCGUAGGCGGUCCGAUAAGUCCGCUGUGAAAGUCGGGGGCUUAACCCUCGGAUGCCGGUGGAUACUGUCGGGCUUGAGUACGGAAGAGGCGAGUGGAAUUCCUGGUGUAGCGGUGAAAUGCGCAGAUAUCAGGAGGAACACCAAUUGCGAAGGCAGCUCGCUGGGACGUUACUGACGCUGAGACGCGAAAGCGUGGGGAGCAAACAGG
rnacentral:rRNA from 1 species